rnacentral:rRNA from 1 species
UCGAGAAUCUUCGGCAAUGGGCGCAAGCCUGACCGAGCGACGCCGCGUGGAGGAUGAAGGCCUUCGGGUUGUAAACUCCUGUCGAGGGGGACCAAGGGAGCGGGAAGAGCGCUCCUUGAGAGAUCCCUGGAGGAAGCACGGGCUAAGUUCGUGCCAGCAGCCGCGGUAAGACGAACCGUGCGAACGUUAUUCGGAAUCAUUGGGCUUAAAGGGCGCGUAGGCGGAUGGCCGCGUCGAGUGCUGAAAUCCCCCGGCUCAACCGGGGAAGUGGCCUCGAAACGGGUCGUCUCGAGGCGAGGAGGGGGACCUGGAACGUCCGGUGGAGCGGUGAAAUGCGUUGAGAUCGGACGGAACACCGAUGGCGAAAGCAAGGUCCUGGACUCGUAACUGACGCUGAGGCGCGAAAGCCAGGGGAGCGAACGGGAUUAGAUACCCCGGUAGUCC